rnacentral:misc_RNA from 1 species
AAGACUAUAGACCUGCGGAGUACCUGCGGAAGGAUCAUUAACGUAUCUACCCUCGGGGGGUGGGGGCGGCCCCGCUUCGGCGAAUGGCCGUGAGCGGGCCGCCUUCCCCUCGAAACACUACAAACCCUCACUGUGCACCUUUUGCGGUGGAGGGCGGGCGUUCGUCUGCCUGAAGCCGCAGCUCACAAACUUUGUCUUGGAAUGUAUUGCGGACUUGUGCCGCCCAUAAACGAAACAACU